rnacentral:ncRNA from 1 species
UUGCAGUUGCCACGCUGACGUGCCCCGUCGCAUAAGGGGUCAGCGUGGUGACGGUGUGCGGUCCGCCCUCCGGGGCGGGUGCCGCUCGGCGUCCGGUGUCCGGGAGUUACCGCUCCCGGACACCGGAC